CGGUUCCAGAUCGAAAAACGCAUCAAAGAACCUCCUCGUCCCGUUCAAAUCGAGACUCAACAAUGUCUCCAUCCCAAAACAGUAAUACUCCCUCUCCCACCUCCUCCCCGCCGGCCACAAACUCCCCCACACUUUACAAUUCAUCGAUUUCCCCGUUAUCAUCCUCGUCGAUCCCAAACACUCCACCAUAGCAUCUGCCAACUCCGGCGCGAGCGCCAGCGCCCGAGCCACCUGGUACCCGGACGACGGAUGCACCAUCCCGCCAGCCCCGCCAAACCCCAUCACCCUCUGCGGCAUCUGCGGCAGCGGACCUCCCAUUGGAAACAAACACUUCUCGUCCUCCAGCACCCGCUCCACCUUAAUCCCCAAAUGUCGCAGCCUCGCCACCAUUCUCUUCUUCACCUCACUGUAGUCCAGCACCGGCCGGCCCACCAGCGAGGUCUCCUCGAGGAAAACUAGAUUUUCGUUGAAUGGCAUUGCAUAUAGAAAAGUUGGAAUAGCAGCGUUGUGAGCACGGAGAUGCGGCUCGUUGUCGAGGUGGGCGUCGCUCCAGUCCAUGAGCAGCAUCUGGUUGAGGUCGAACGGGUGGCGGUUGACCUCGGCGAGGAUGCCGUGGGCGAUCUGGUACCCGCGGCGGUUUCUCGGUCUGUCGUACUCGAUGAAGGGGGUGCUGAAGCCGCCAGCGUCGAUGACGAGGCUGGCGGUGACGGCGCUGCCGUCGGAGCAGGAGACGGAGGAGCGGAGCUCCUCGUGCUCGAUGUUCCAGGCUUUGGAGGGGUGGAAUCUGACUCCGGUGGUGGUACAGUUUUCUAGUAAUAGAGUUUUGAGAGAACUGCGGUUGACGCGGCCGUAGGGGCGUGAGAGGUGCUUGAUGUUGUCGCCGUCGAUGGCGAUCGUGGCGGUGGGCCAGAUGUGGUCGAAGAUGGAGGCGAGGCCGAGGGGGUGGAGCUCGUCGAGCCAGGCGCCGUAGUUGUUGGGCCAGGGGGAGAGGGGGGCGGGGUCGAUGCAGCAGACGCGGAGCCCACGGGCCGCGGCGCAUUCGGCGAGGCGGAGGCCGGCGGGGCCGCAGCCGAUGAUGGCGGCAUCGUAGCGGUGGGCGGAGGAGGGGUCAUGGUAUGGGAUGUCGAUGGUGAGAGGCUCGGGCUUGGAGACUGGGGUGAGAUCUAGAAAGCUACGGAGAGAACUGCGCUUUGUUCGCCUUGAAGGGUGGCGGAGUUCGCCGGCGGUGAGUAACGCCGGCAACUGAAGAGUUGACAUCGGAGGUUGGACUGGAGUGGUAGAGGAUGCGGGGAUUAUGAGGAUGGGAACCGGAGGUGCGGUCCAGCCGCCUCCUUGAUCCUCUCUUGACCGCACCUCCGGUUCCCAU
rnacentral:misc_RNA from 1 species